GAUGAACGCUGGCGGCGUGCCUAAUACAUGCAAGUCGAGCGAACUGAUUAGAAGCUUGCUUCUAUGACGUUAGCGGCGGACGGGUGAGUAACACGUGGGCAACCUGCCUGUAAGACUGGGAUAACUUCGGGAAACCGAAGCUAAUACCGGAUAGGAUCUUCUCCUUCAUGGGAGAUGAUUGAAAGAUGGUUUCGGCUAUCACUUACAGAUGGGCCCGCGGUGCAUUAGCUAGUUGGUGAGGUAACGGCUCACCAAGGCAACGAUGCAUAGCCGACCGGAGAGGGUGAUCGGCCACACGGGGACUGAGACACGGCCCAGACGCCUACGGGAGGCAGCAGUAGGGAAUCUUCCGCAAUGGACGAAAGUCUGACGGAGCAACGCCGCGUGAGUGAUGAAGGCUUUCGGGUCGUAAAACUCUGUUGUUAGGGAAGAACAAGUACAAGAGUAACUGCUUGUACCUUGACGGUACCUAACCAGAAAGCCACGGCUAACUACGUGCCAGCCGCCGCCGUAA
rnacentral:rRNA from 1 species